GUUUGUGGUGAGUGCUAUGGAGGAAAUAAAGGUGAAGGGAUGGAGGAUGGACGGCCAGGGGUGUGUGGCCGCUUCAGGUGGGAUGGUCAGGGAUGGCCUCUCUGAGGAGGUGGCAACCGAGCUUUGACCUGAAUUUCGAGAAUGAGCCAGGAAUGCGAAGAGGCUUUCAGGAAUACCUUGCGGAGGCUGGGCCGGUGAUGUCUGCAGGCGUGUGGCUGGCUGGAGGAGGCGAGACUGGAGACUGAGCUCUGAGGACAGUGGUGACAUUGGUGAUGACAAUGACGGUAGCAAAUGAGAGGGUGGCCAAACUCCAACUCCAGUGGGUUUGCCCUGAGCCAGAGUCUCAAGAGGCUCCCCGUGUGGUUGGGGAGGUGACACAAACACGGGCCGCCCUAAAUGUGCCAGAAUGAGGUCGCUCCGGUGGUGGGAGCCCAGAGGAGUCCCUUCUGAGACCCAGGGGGUCAGGGCGGGCUUUUCCUGGGAGCUCCCCGGAGACCUGCCGGCCGACAGGCGCGGGAGCGGCGCCAGGAGGGCGGGGCCAAGAACCGGCCUGGCCGGAGCGGGGAGGCUGGCGGCAGCCGUUUGUUCUCUGGGAGGGAUAAAAGGCAGACGGGCCAGGCCGGCUCCUGAAACUGGAGGCGCCGGGUCCAGGCUGGGGCUGGGCCCGCGGCAGCGAGAAAGGAGUCCAGACAGACUUGUGUGCGGAUCCUGGCUUGGAGAGAGUUGUUGAUUCUCAUCUCUUCCUCUCGAAAACGAGCGUUAAGUCCUAGUACCUGCCAGAAAGGCUCGUGAGAAGACGGGUGAGAAGAUGUGUCAAGGGCUUAGGAUGGGGAUCCAUGUUCAGCCGAUGAUGAAAAAUAAAUAGACAAAGGAAUGAAUCAGUAACUCAAUGACCGGGACGACGUUGGCAUCUCCUUAAAGAUUAAGCAUCUUUCCUUAGGCUGGGAACUGAUUGCAGCGCUCAUCUGUGACCGCCCAGCCCGAGGCAACAGACCUGCCAGCCUGCGGCGUUCACCGAGACAGCAGCCCUAUCUGCCGUUUCCAUCAAUAACUGUGCCGACAGAGCAGCCUCGUGACUAUUGUAAAAGGGACAUUUCAAUCAUAUGUGAAACACCCUCUUUGAGGGUAUAUAACCACCCUGUAUACCCCUACUUCUUUGGAGUGCUCUGUUCCUUUGUGGAAAGACUCUCCCGGGUUAUAAUCCUCACAUUUUAGCUCAGAAUAAAC
rnacentral:lncRNA from 1 species